rnacentral:rRNA from 1 species
GCAAGUCGAACGAUGAAGCUCUAGCUUGCUAGAGUGGAUUAGUGGCGCACGGGCGAGUAAUGCAUAGGAAUAUGUCUUGUAGUCUAGGAUAGCCACUGGAUACGGUGAUUAAUACUGGAUAUUCCGGAGACGGGAAAGUUUUUCGCUACAAGAUGAGCCUAUGUUGUAUCAGCUAGUUGGUAAGGUAAAAGCUUACCAAGGCUAUGACGGAUAACUGGUCUGAGAGGAUGAUC